ACGCUCGACACCUACGGGAGGCAGCAGUGGGGAAUAUUGCACAAUGGGGGAAACCCCGAUGCAGCGACGCCGCGUGAAGGAAGAAGUAUCUCGGUAUGUAAACUUCUAUCAGCAGGGAAGAAAGUGACGGUACCUGACUAAGAAGCCCCGGCUAACUACGUACCAGCAGCCGCGGUAAUCUGAGCGGGCUGGCAAGGC
rnacentral:rRNA from 1 species